GACACGGCCCAGACUCCUACGGGAGGCAGCAGUAGGGAAUCUUCCGCAAUGGACGAAAGUCUGACGGAGCAACGCCGCGUGAGUGAUGAAGGUUUUCGGAUCGUAAAGCUCUGUUGUUAGGGAAGAACAAGUGCCGUUCAAAUAGGGCGGCACCUUGACGGUACCUAACCAGAAAGCCACGGCUAACUACGUGCCAGCAGCCGCGGUAAUACGUAGGUGGCAAGCGUUGUCCGGAAUUAUUGGGCGUAAAGGGCUCGCAGGCGGUUUCUUAAGUCUGAUGUGAAAGCCCCCGGCUCAACCGGGGAGGGUCAUUGGAAACUGGGGAACUUGAGUGCAGAAGAGGAGAGUGGAAUUCCACGUGUAGCGGUGAAAUGCGUAGAGAUGUGGAGGAACACCAGUGGCGAAGGCGACUCUCUGGUCUGUAACUGACGCUGAGGAGCGAAAGCGUGGGGAGCGAACAGGAUUAGAUACCCUGGUAGUCCACGCCGUAAACGAUGAGUGCUAAGUGUUAGGGGGUUUCCGCCCCUUAGUGCUGCAGCUAACGCAUUAAGCACUCCGCCUGGGGAGUACGGUCGCAAGACUGAAACUCAAAGGAAUUGACGGGGGCCCGCACAAGCGGUGGAGCAUGUGGUUUAAUUCGAAGCAACGCGAAGAACCUUACCAGGUCUUGACAUCCUCUGACACCCCUAGAGAUAGGGCUUCCCCUUCGGGGGCAGAGUGACAGGUGGUGCAUGGUUGUCGUCAGCUCGUGUCGUGAGAUGUUGGGUUAAGUCCCGCAACGAGCGCAACCCUUGAUCUUAGUUGCCAGCAUUCAGUUGGGCACUCUAAGGUGACUGCCGGUGACAAACCGGAGGAAGGUGGGGAUGACGUCAAAUCAU
rnacentral:rRNA from 1 species